CCUUGUACACACCGUCCGUCACACCAUGGGAGUUGGUUGCUCCAGAAGCGGGUAGCCUAACCGCAAGGGGGGCGUUUGCCACGGAGUGGUCAAUGACUGGGGUG
rnacentral:rRNA from 1 species